rnacentral:rRNA from 1 species
UCAAAGGAAUUGACGGGGCCCGCACAAGCGGUGGAGCAUGUGGUUUAAUUCGAAGCAACGCGAAGAACCUUACCAGGCCUUGACAUGCUAGGGAACCCGGGUGAAAGCCUGGGGUGCCCCCGCGAGGGGAGCCCUAGCACAGGUGCUGCAUGGCCGUCGUCAGCUCGUGCCGUGAGGUGUUGGGUUAAGUCCCGCAAUGAGCGCAACCCCGCCGUUAGUUGCCAGCGGUUCGGCCGGGCACUCUAACGGGACUGCCCGCGAAAGCGGGAGGAAGGAGGGGACGACGUCUGGUCAGCAUGGCCCUUACGGCCUGGGCGACACACGUGCUACAAUGCCCACUACAAAGCGAGGCCACCCGGCAACGGGGAGCUAAUCUCUUAAAGCCAAUCUCAGUUCGGAUUGUAGGCUGCAACUCGCCUACAUGAAGUCGGAAUCGCUAGUAAUCGCGGAUCAGCACGCCGCGGUGAAUACGUUCCCGGGCCUU